GUCGAAACUUAGUGUUCGAGGUUCCGAAGUACGUUUUGAGUCUCAGAAAAUCAUCGUUUGACUUAUUGUGGAACCCGAUCAUUUUGGAUUUGUAUGGAUUUGAUUGAUUGACUCUUGGUGAGGAAUUUUAAAAUAAGCUAAGGACCUAAGGUGUGGCUUUAGCUGUUGAGCAACUUGUGGAGCACGGACUCAGUAGCAAUGCAAUAAUGGUUUUAGAGUUUUCAUAUGGCUGCCUUAAAUUUAAAGUAUUCAUACGUGUAAUAAUUUCUUCUAAUAAGUUUAUAUAAAAGUUUUAAAUUUUUCUGUAUUUCUUCGUAUCAUUUUAUUUAAUUCUUUUGGUCAAGUGCCUUACAUACUCGUAAACCCUAGAAUUACGAGUAUGUGGCAGACGUACCCUACCUUAGGGACGUUACAUAAUGGUAUCAGAGCCUUGACCCAGCCGGAAGUGUGGCCGACAGGGACGUCGGGCCCGUAAGGGGGGGUGAUUGUGACAGUCAGAAUCCCGUGAUCCGUAAGGGGAAAUACCGGGUAAGCUGUGCAAUCCCACACCGCCUGGGGAAGGUCAAGUGUAAUGAUUCUAAGACUGUGUAGGUAUGGGACUACACAGUUGAAGAAGGCUUAAAUGGAUUGAUGUGUACUACCUAUAUCAGGAAGGUGCAUCUUCUUUU